rnacentral:lncRNA from 1 species
AUAUUGUAUAAAUGAUAUAUAAAUAUGUAUCAAUACUAUAUAAAUGAGAUAUAAAUUUAUGUCAAUAUAAUAUAAAAAAUUAUAUAAUAUAUAUAAAAAAGUUGUAUCAUUAUCCAUAUUUAUAAAAAAAAGUUUAAAAAAUCGAGUAAUUUUUUUAAAAUAAAAAUUUUAAAAACUCCAUAUGUAUCUGUACAUAUAUAUACAAAAGUUUAGAAAACCUAGAGCUCCAAUCAUAUUUAUCCACCACCAAUGCCAGCCUCCACCCUCCCCUUAUUUUCCCAUUCUUUUCCGAUCAAGCUUUGCGCGAACAAACAAUCACUGUUAUUCUUCUUUUCAACCCAUCCACCUCUCUUUUUCGACGAAACAAAUGCUAAAACUGCCCCAUACCACCACCCAAACAACAAUAAAACAGUCCCUUCCAUCUUUCGUCUUCUCUCUCCCAGCAAACUAUUGAACUCUGGUGAAGCUCCCUGCGAACCGGAGAGUAACCUGUUACCAUGACGAGAUCCAGACAGACAGACCCAUGUUGCUGCUCCGUCAGAAUCUCCGAACUAGAGCUCCAAUAUAGUAUUACGAUAUAACUCGGGUGGGCACUAACAACCUUCAUCUCCGACAGCAACGAUGGAGUUCUGGUGAUGCGAACAUCACCAAUAUCUCCCAGUCUUUCCUUUUCACAAUUUGUACACCGUUUCUGGUUAAAUUUAUGGAUCUAGCCAAGGUUUGUUCAUUUUCUUAUUAUUCCUUUGAGUUUUUUGUGGUUAACGAUUUCAAGCUACUAUUAUCGGUCACUUUUUGUAAAUAAAAUGGUUGACGGGUCAUAUAUUGAAAGAAAGUUGGUCGAACGGUCAUUUCCAGUAAUAAACAAAAAAAUGAAUUACUCUUUGUGUAAGAAAUUUAAUCUGUCACGAUCCGAUUUCGGCCUUGCCAUGAUGGGUAUCUCAAACUCACCGAGAGUCAGAGAUUGCCCCCUUAAUCUAGUCAACCAGAACACAAUAUGAUAUAAUAGCGGAAGCAACCAGAGUAUAAAUAUACAGUUUAUGAAACUCAAAUGGAACUAAGAGUUCAAAACAACGACCAACACACAAUCUGUCCACAAAGCCUCUAACAAAACCAAAUAUCAUACUAGAUCGGGACAUGCUCUUGACCAUGGCCAAAAAGAAAAUUCAAAAUAUAAAAAAAAUGAUGAGAUUUUGAUAAUCAUUAAGAAAGCAUUGAAAUGUCUGACCUUCCGUAAGAUUGAGGCUCACCACUUCAAUGCAGACCAGCCAGAAUCAUCGAACUCUGUACAAGGUAAUCGAAGAACCCUAGGACCUACAUCAUGAAAUGAUAUAUCGUUCGGAGAUAGUUAGCGAGGUGAGCUCUAGCAUGUAACUCAGAAAAGAGAUAAAAUAAUGCCAAGUAAAAAUCAGUCCAAAACCAUAUGCAUACAUUUAUAGAUAGGGAACAAGGUUUAGCAUGAGAUUAAAUCCAUUAGCCUGGACUGUGUAGCUCUAACCAUCCUAAGGCAUCCACGGGCUAUAUGGGUACAGCUCCCCUGUUGAAAGGAUCCCAACGCAUGUUAGCCGCACAAAUAAGGAAAAUUCGAGGAAGGACCAAAGCCACCGAGGCUCUAACCAUUAUAAAAUAAAUAUAUAUAAUGUGUGAACUAUGCACAUAGUCACUAAGACCCCUAUGUCGGCAAAAGUGGGUUCCGGUAUUGUUCCUGUUGACACCUAAUUUUUUUCCUCCUCAGUUAAGUUUAAUUUUGAGUUUAUCUGGUUUCAAAUAAAAUUAAAAUAUUUAUUUUAUCCGAGUAAAUUUUUUUAAAAAUAUUUGUCUAGAUAAUUUUUUCUAUUUUAAGUAACGAUUAUAUAUUUUCGUAUUCAUAGAUAUACGAAAUCAUAUAAUUUUGUCACUUAAAUUUUAUUUUAUGGAAUAUUGUAGUUUAAUCAAAGAUUAUCUUGAAAAUUAAUCUUGAGUUACAUAAAAUAACUUAUUUGUAAAAAUAUUUGUUUGGUUUAAUUAAAUCAAGAAACUUGAAAUUAAACCGAUUUAUAAUUUGUAUCGAAUUUUGAUUCAAUAACUUAUUUGUAAAAAUAUCUUUCAUUGGUCGAGUUCGUAGUCAAAGAUAAUGACGGAAUUGCUAUUCGACUUAUUAUCUCAGUUCGCUGCUCCGGAGAAGGUUAGUAAUUGUUUUUUUCUUCUUUUUCGCCUUCUGUUCCAUUUUUAGAAUAGAAUGCAGAAGGUUACUUCUCUUUUUUUUGCUUAGCUACUAGUUGAAUUGUGUAGUAGAAUAUGUGUACGUGUCCUUAUUUCGAUAAAAAUCAACUUGUAGAAAGACUCACACGGCUAAGACUACUAUAGGAAGUAUUGAUUCUAUUAGUUGAAUAUAUGAAUAAUAGCGUAGCUUAUCUUUUUAUUUUUUACGUUUGGCUUAAUUCGUGUUUCGCCCCUUUUGACCUGUGAAAGGUGAAACAGAAUGAGGUUGUUCAUAGGAAGUUGUUUUCAUAGAAAUUAAUCUGCAAAUUCGUUAUCAUAUAGUUAGCCUGGUUGCUUUGUAUCUCCCCGACCAUAGUGUUUGCAGAAUAGGUGAAUUUCCUACUUGUUCAAUUGUGACCUCAAAACAUCAUGCUUUUUUUCUAUUCAGAUUUAGUAAUUUCCUCUGUCCGUUACUGUGUUCUAUUGGAUGUUUGAAAGUGAUAGUAUUCUUUAUGCUUCUUGGUAGAUGAAGUUGUUUUGAGUCAAGAUGGUCAUAUUGAAAAUGAUUUCCAGGGGAUUACUGGAAAAUAUUUUUUGUUCUAAUACCAUAACACCCUUUCGAGAAUAAUUUCUUUUAUAAUCACAAGCAACAACCCUCAAGGAUUUAUUACAUAUUGCUUUCUUGGUGACAAUUGUUUUCAUUGCCAUUUUGUCUUUUUUUUUCCUUUUCUUCACUUCAUUGAAUUGGUGGAUCCUCUCUUCAAAAACACUUGAAAAAUAGAUCAUCAUAAAUAAUUUUACUGUAAAAGAUUUACAUAAUACUUAUUAAGGGAUAGUUGCUUUGGAAAAAAAAUGAUGGCAUUGCCUGUACAAAUCGUGCUUAGUCGUACACUGGGACUUUUAUGCUCAUAAUGAUACACUAGUUUUUUUGAAAACGUGUGGCCAAGCGGGUUCAAAUUCACCCUCUCCACUCGAGUUCGAUCCCUACACCUGUUUUUUCUACUUUUUCGGAGGUAGUGGUAUGGACUGCGGACAUCUUACCCUCCCCAGACCCCAUUUUGUGGGAAUUCACUGGGUUUGUUAUUGUUGUUGUUGUUGUUGUUGUGUGUCGCACAUGCAUUUCAUAUUAGUAAGUGCAAAUUUUUAAUACGACUGAAAUAUUAAUUAAACAUGUGCAUGAGAUGCAAAAACAUUUAAAGAAUAAAGUAUAAGUCAAAAUGAUGGAUAAGGACCCUAUAAAAGCAACAUAGUAGUUAAAUUAUUCGAAACUUAAAAAGAACAAUUAUAUUCAUUUAGGUAGGUCCGAUUUGUUACUAUAUUACUUUUGAUGAAGUUCAAGCAUGUGAUAUGGACGGGUCUUACCUAAUAUUUCUUUAUAGACGAUGUUUUGUAUGAAUAUUUCAUUAUGAUGUCUACGUUGCUCUGUAAUGUGACUCAUGUCCAAUACUUUUAUUGUUAUGUUAGUAUCCUCUUAAUUGUAUAGCCGCUGUUGUUAAAAUGUGGGCGCCAUUUAUUGAUAUAUUAAGAAAUUUGUUUUGGGAACCCUCUCGAACUAAUUGUACUAUUACAACUAAUAAUAACAUGUUAGGUAGAAUAUUUGUAAAAUUUAUUGGAGUAAGAACAUCGAGCUUUAGGAAUAUAGAUCUGGAGGUAAUAGUUUUAUGGGUAGUGACAACCAUGAAAACAUAUUUGCAUACGUUUGUUUUUGUGGGAAUAUUCAAUCGUUUAUAUGUGGCAUUUCGUAUAUCGUGUUUAAAUUUUUUUUUUUUCUCAUUGAAAACUCGAGUAUCUAAUCCGUAUCUUCUUCUAUUGCAUGAACUCCCUUAUUGAGUCCAUUGGACUCUUAUCUAUCACAUUCCGUUGGGUUAAACCCAACCUCCAUCGAGUCAGAGCCUCAACCGAAUUCACAAAUGAGCUAGUACGCAUUGAUAUACUCUGAUAUACUGUGAAUAUACAUCGAAAGCAGCAGCUGCACGCUAUCCCACGGUUUAUGAUGAAAAAUGGAGCAAAAAUACGUAGGUAUCCACACUGAUAUACACUUUAUACACAGUGGUAUAUAGAAAAACCCAGGAAAGUAGCUGUUGAUAUACAACAGAUAUACAAGGGCGAAAAUGGACUACAAGUCAAUGGAAUUGGUCCGAAAUUGGACAGAUCUUUAAUGGGCCAAAAGGGGCCCAACUUUCUCUUCUCUAUUUAUUAUCCAUUAUAAUUUAUUUAUUUGUAUUUGCUUGAACACUUUAAUUAAUUAAUCUAAAGAUAAGUUCCUCAAGAGGUUGCCAUUUUUAUUUUAUCUUCAUUUUUUCUAUCUUUAUUUAUUUGAAUCUUCCUUUUUUAAGAAAAUAAAAAUAAAAUAAUAACAAUAAUAAAAUAAGAAUAAAAAUUAUCAUUGGCACACCCCCUUUUCUAAAAAGAGAUAUGAUUUUAAGUUUGAAAGAGUUUUAUUAUUAAAGUGACAAAUAUAAAAAUUUAUUUCGAAAAGAAUUUUGUAUAUUUAAACUCAGAGUCGCCACUUGGCAUAAAUCGGGUGUGCCAAGUCACCUUUAAAAAUUCUUUUUCAAAAAAUGGUUUGAUACUAAAAAAUUGAUCCACGAACAAAGAUUUCGAUUAAGGAGUUCUGUUGACUGAGGGGAAGGUGUUAGGCAUUCCUCGGUCCCGUGGUUCAACCACGGUCACUUCAUAGAGUGUAUUGGCUAGUAUGACACUAUGAAAUGCAUAAAGCAAACAAAAAAAAAACAACGCACGAAACAAAUAAUCAAACAGUCAAAACUUUAAAAUAGUGUCCAGUCCAAUUAAUUACAAAUCGAAAUAAAAAUGCUGGAAUUAAAACCUAAACUAUUCUAACUAUCCUAUACUAUGCUUUACUCGAUGCCUCGGGCCCUAAUCACGAGCCUCCUUUGCGUACAUGAUACUUCAGGGCAUUCCCCGGUGAAUAAGUACAAUGUGUCUCGGGGCAUUCCCCGGCCAAAUGAGUACAAUUAAUCUAAAUACAGUGAACUAAACCAUUCAACAAAUAUUUCAAACAUUCCACAAUCCACAAGUUCUAAAUUGGCCUACUCGAGCUUACUGUUUGCCUACCCAUCUCAACCUAUUAUGACAUUAUCACAUUACAUCUAUGAAUCAAACAACUAACACUUGCUCUUCAUCAACUUUUAAUUUUUGCCCUAAAUUUCAUUCUCGACCAUGGUUCCAACAUGGCAAUUUACGAUAACAUUUCCAGCAAUCCACAAUCAAUAUAAUUCGACAUUCACAUCACGCAUAAGAUAAGAGAAAUUCAAGACGAUAACAAUCAAUAAAACACAAAAACAAAAAAAUUACUUAAGAAUAAGAAUAAGAUAAUGAGAUGGACCUUAAAUUGGGGGCUUUUAUUCGACCAAACUGAACUGAUUCCAGCGAUGACGGAAGCCUUAUGGACCAAUGAACCACGGACAAACCUCAAACUCAAAUCCCAAUAUUCCAAAGAUGAAACCCCCCAUUUUCUUGAUGUUUUUGUUACGGUUUAACUCACCGGAGCUCCGGAGAGCUCAGGCAGCAAUGGGAAGGAAAAAGCUGGUCAAAUUUUGGAGAAUAGAUAGAUGGUGUGGUUGAUUUCAGAAACUUUAAAGGAUUCCGAUGUUAUUCUGACAGGAUUUCACCAGAACUGAAUGAAGUGGGUCAGUUUUUAGUCGGAAAUGAUGGGUUAAAGGACCAACACCGGAGCUGAUUCACCAGAACAGUGAGCACCAAUGAUGUCUACUCCGUUAUCCUUAUCGUCUCUUGAUUAAUCUCUUUAUUGGUUUUCUCCUUCAAUUCUCAAUCCAUCCUUCACCUCUAUCUGAUUUUUGUGUUACGGUAUACAUGCUGUUCUUGAAUUGUGUAUGUUAGAGUCCCCUUUUUCUUUUUAUUAAUUCAUAUCCCUAUAUGUUGUUGCUAUGUGUGUAUAUAUGAAUUGUCCUCUUCUGUGAGUGUGGGUAAUUGUAUGUUUUCAUGAGAGUGAUGAUGAGUGAAUAUAUGUAAAUUCUAUUAAGAUAUUUUUUGGUGAGGGAAAAUAUAUUAGGGGUUAAGAGGGUAGGGGGCACGUGGGUAGGGGUAGGGGGUGAGGUAGGAAGUUGGUGUGGUUAGAAUAAUGUAGGGUGGUUAAAUUUGAUUGGGUGUGGUGUUAAUUUGUUAUGGAUUUAUUGUAAUUUUGUUAUUUGGGAUAAUGAUAAAAAAUAAUGAGAUGGCUAUUUAUUUUGUUUUUCUUGUGAUUAAAUUACCACGUGGAUAGGUUACGUGAUAAGGUUAAUCGAGUUGAAUUGAUUUUCGGGGAGGGGAGAAAUUCCGUGUCUACAUCAUGUUCGUCUUUAUUUGUGAACACAAAGUGUUUGCAGAUAAAGAAGUAGAUAAUGAGAUAAAAUUUUGACCUGACCAUUAUUCAAAAAGAAGGAAAAAGAAGGACAGAUGCAGCCGAGUCUUUAUUUUGGACCUCCUACCCAUCCCAAGUUAUGUGGGGAUCAAGUCACAUGUGGUUUCAAGGAUUGAAAACAGAAGGACUAUACCGAGUUGGAGUGUUAAGUGAGGCCUUGUCGAGGUUUCGGUCCCUGGCUCUGUCAUUACAACAAAAAAUAAAAAUUACCAGUAAAAGAAAAAAAUAAAAUUAUAGAAUUCCUAUCUAUGCAGCUUUCCUUGGCUCUUGACUUGAUAUUUUUCUUUUCUCCAGGUGGACUCCUGACUUGUAAUUUCCUUACUCUGUUCUCCAGGAAAGCUCUCGACUUACAAUUUCUUCACUCUAUUCUUCAGGUGGGCUCCAGCUUUCAAUUUCAUCACCCUGUUCUUCAGGCGGGCUCCUGACUUGCAAUUUCAUCACCCUAUUCUUCAGG